ACUAAUGUUUUGUAUCCAUAUAUUUUUCGCGGGAACCGUGUGUAAGUGUGACCGAAAAAAUGCGCGUAUGUAACGUAUUGGACCAGUAAAUAAGCUAUUGUUGAAGUUUCUAAUUUAUUGUCACCUUUUCCGGGACAUGUUAUAUGUUAUAUGCGCUGUGUCAGAGGUAAUCUGUUCUAUAAUUGCACUUCGGGCGAAGGACUACUGUUGAAGUAUUAUACUUUUAACAUUUAAAUAUUAAUUAAAUACUAAUAAGUUAAAUUGUCCAUUAAUUGAAAACAAUAAUUUUAAUUUUACAGACUAGUCAAAUUAUUUACGACUUUGGAUGAUGGUUGUCGUUUUCCUGUUCUGGCAUAGGUGUGCUGUCUGUGUUGAUUCUAAUUAGUGUCACUCCUCCCUCCCAUUACGUGUUUAAAUAUGGAUGUUUAUAAAAAGCCAGAGAUCGACCAAAAAAAAGAUUUAUUUUAAACCUUGUUAUAGAUAAAAUAUAAUUUUUUCCUGAGGAUUCCAGAAUCUUAUGCCAACUGUUAAUUUUUCUUUUAUUUAUUUAUUUUAAAAUUAUUGUAGGUACUUUGAUUACAAAAUCACUUUAUAUUGAACAUUGUAAAAUAUAUGUGGAACUUUUGAGAGUUGGCAGAGUGCUAUAGAGCAGAGGUAGCUUCAUCAAUGGCAAACUUGGGAGCCUGGAAUGUGAAUAAUGAUUUAUUUAUUGUCCAGAUUUGCAGUAUCUGAAUUGACUUCCUUCACUGUACAAGAAACAUGUGUGUACAAAAUAAUUUAACUAUAUAGGGUGUCCCAUGAAGAUUCGAUGAAUGCAAUAACUUUUGUUCUAU